UGAGGUAGUAGAUUGAAUAGUUGUGGGGUCACGGCCUCCCUGUGUGCUAACUAUACAAUCUACUGUCUUUC
rnacentral:pre_miRNA from 1 species